CAAUAUUGGAUCAUUUUGUAUCUAGGAACUUCUAUUCAGGUGACAACAUGGUACUAAACUAGAAGAGGAGAGAAGCCACUCUUCCAGAAAGGAGAAAGCAACUCCUAUUUAAUGAUGCUCCUAUCCAAAUUGCAAAGCAAUUAGACUGUAGCCUAAGUAGGUAAGCAUCACCUAAACCAAAUGACAAUGCUGAUCAAUGAAGAAUAAUAUAUGUGUGUGAAAGUCUUGGGCUGAAAAAGUAAGUCCUAUUAGAUUCUACUGCAAUUUCCAGAAAAAGAAUUAAUACACA
rnacentral:misc_RNA from 1 species